GUGGAAGGUUUGCGAAUCUCAACACAUAUAGCUUCGAGAUUAUCUCUAGUCAGAUCUUUUCGUUCUAAAUAGUUAAGGGAAGUUUUCACAUAUAAACAGACGCCUCCCCCUGUUCUAGAGCGAUCGACCCUAAUAAGAUCAUAAUUACUUAUAUACAUAUCCUGGUUAUUAAUAGUAUCAUCCAAUCUUGUCUCAUUUAAUGCAAGAAUAUCGAGACAUUCAUCGGCUAAUAUGAUCCUAAUUUCGUCAAUAUGCUUAGGUAAACUGGUUAUGUUAAGCAUACCCAUUUUGAAACCCUUGAAAUCAGGGAAAUAUGGGUUAAAUUGAGCAUACCUUACAGCACCUGGCCAUGCCUUAUUUCAAUUACGACUAAAGUGAUUACUAUAAUUUCUAGUAAGAGUGCUACUACCCUUUCUAUUUAAAUGUAGGCCACCUCUAUUUAGGCAAGUAUAAUCUAAAUUAGUGUUGUCUAUAUAGGUCCAUUUGUUUUGGUCAGAGACCCGUUUAAGAAUGUCAUUUACAGUUUUAAUUUUGUUCUGGAUAUUAGCUUUAACUUUCCUGGUAAUAAUGCCCGAUAUACAUACGUUAGUGCAUGGUAGACUAUCCUUUAUUUGGGUUCCGAGGUUUAAGAUACCCGCAGCAACUACUUCUACCGUCUUGGAGUUAUCUUUAAUAUUGUUAGUGCCUACAUGCAAUAUUAUCUCGUCGGGCUUUUUGCGUAGUAAUGGUUUUAUGUAAUCUUGCAUAUCUUCAGCUUUACUCCCUGAAAAGGACUUUACAGAUACACGUUGUUUAUCGUUAGACAAGUCCCAGCCGUGAACAUGUUGUAGAAUUGAGUCCCCGGCGAUGAAAACAAGUUUGCCAGACUUAUUAUUCUUUGAGCCUGUUUGAAAUAAAUCGUUUGAAUUUGCAUUUGUUGUAUGCUUUCUAUUGUUGGUUUUGGCCUUGCCCUUGGAAAAUUCAAUGGAAGUUUGGGUUGAUUGACUUUCUUUUCUCCUUUGUUUUCUAUCGUGUUUGUUCGAAUCCAUGUUUAAAUUACUUGACCUACUUUGUCUAACAGUCGAAGUGCUAGACUCACUCGGGUCAAUUUCGUCAUUAGAUUCUGAUUCUUUAUCUGAGUCAUGUUCCGUGGAC
rnacentral:lncRNA from 1 species